GGGGAAUAUUGGACAAUGGGGGGAACCCUGAUCCAGCCAUGCCGCGUGUGUGAAGAAGGCCUUAUGGUUGUAAAGCACUUUAAGCGAGGAGGAGGCUCUUUUGGUUAAUACCCAAGAUGAGUGGACGUUACGCGCAGAAUGAGCACAGGCUAACCCUAUGCCAGCAGCCGCGGUAAUACAGAGGGUGCGAGCGUUAAUCGGAUUUACUGGGCGUAAAGCGUGGUAGGCGGCUUUUUAAGUCGGAUGUGAAAUCCCCGAGCUUAACUUGGGAAUUGCAUUCGAUACUGGGAAGCUAGAGUAUGGGAGAGGAUGGUAGAAUUCCAGGUGUAGCGGUGAAAUGCGUAGAGAUCUCGAGGAAUACCGAUGGCGAGGGCAGCCAUCUGGGCUAAUACUGACGCUGAGGUACGAAAGCAUGGGGAGCAAACA
rnacentral:rRNA from 1 species